AGGGGGGUUCGGAAAAUAUUAAAAGUUACAUGACAUUAAUAGACACAUUUUGAUUGAAAAUUUGAAAAAGAAAGAAACACGGAGAGCGAAAGAAAAUUAAGAAGCAAACAUGGAGGCAGAAAAGAAUAAGGGACAGAAUAGGAAGAAAGGGCAGGUAAAAGAGGAAAUACAGGGGGCAAAAAUCAAUUAUAAGGUUAGCAUAAAACAAAUCUCGUAGGUUU
rnacentral:lncRNA from 1 species